GUGAAAACCAACAAGCCCAGUUGAAUCUCGUGUCACUUGCGCAACUGACAACAGAUUCUUAUAAAAAUCUACUGCCUCUUCAUGCACCUCAUCUGUUGUAUUUAGAAAAGAACCAUCGAGAAGACUCAUCCUCUCUAUCUUCUUUUUCUUUUUCUUUAUUCUCAUCGAAGCAUGGAAAAAACUUAUAUUAGAAUC